GGAGAAGCAAAAUGAUGAGUAGUACUAGCUGGAGCCCCAAAGAGGCACGUGUGAGUGUGUGUGUGUGUGUGUGUGUGUACCUGUAUUCUUAUCUGUGCAUGCACACUUAUGUCUGGGAGUAUGAAUGUGUGUGGCUGGUCAUAGGAAAUUAGCUAUGUGUCUUCUGUUGGGCCAUGACAGUUAAACUGAUAAGAUCUGAUUGCUUC
rnacentral:snoRNA from 1 species